rnacentral:tRNA from 1 species
GGAGGCGUGGUGUAGUGGUUAACACACUGCCCUGUCAAGGCAGAGAUCGCGGGUUCGAGACCCGUCGCCUCCG